ACACAGUGCAGAGACUCAGACUCCUCAAAUCCAGUCUUUAGUCCCAUCAUGAAAAGGAGUCAUCCCAAACACUGAGGCUAAUAUAUUAGCAGAGGCUACCCUCUUCUUCUUCUUCUAAAUACAUCAUG